UGGGGAAUCUUGCACAAUGGGGGCAACCCUGAUGCAGCGACGCCGCGUGAGCGAUGAAGCCCUUCGGGGCGUAAAGCUCUUUCGACCGGAACGAUACUGACGGUACCGGGAGAAGAAGCUGCGGCCAACUACGUGCCAGCAGCCGCGGUAAUACGUAGGCAGCAAGCGUUGUUCGGAGUUACUGGGCGUAAAGAGUGCGUAGGCGGUUUUCUAAGUUCGGUGUGAAAUCUCCCGGCUUAACUGGGAGGGUGCGCCGAAGACUGGGAGGCUGGAGUGUGGGAAAGGCAGGCGGAAUUCCUGGUGUAGCGGUGAAAUGCGUAGAUAUCAGGAGGAACACCGGCGGUGUAGACGGCUUGCUAGACCAUAACUGACGCUGAGGAACGAAAGCGUGGGUAGCAAACA
rnacentral:rRNA from 1 species